rnacentral:rRNA from 1 species
AUUGAACGCUGGCGGCAGGCCUAACACAUGCAAGUCGGGCGGCAGCGGGAAAGUAGCUUGCUACUUUUGCCGGCGAGCGGCGGACGGGUGAGUAAUGCCUGGGGAUCUGCCCAGUCGAGGGGGAUAACUACUGGAAACGGUAGCUAAUACCGCAUACGCCCUACGGGGGAAAGCAGGGGACCUUCGGGCCUUGCGCGAUUGGAUGAACCCAGGUGGGAUUAGCUAGAUGGUGAGGUAAUGGCUCACCAAGGCGACGAUCCCUAGCUGGUCUGAGAGGAUGAUCAGCCAGACUGGAACUGGGACACGGUCCAGACUCCUACGGGGGGGAGCAGUGGGGAAUAUUGCACAAUGGGGGAAACCCUGAUGCAGCCAUGCCGCGUGUGUGAAGAAGGCCUUCGGGUUGUAAAGCACUUUCAGCGAGGAGGAAAGGUUGGUAGCUAAUAACUGCCAGCUGUGACGUUACUCGCAGAAGAAGCACCGGCUAACUCCGUGCCAGCCGCCGCAGUAAGAC